rnacentral:rRNA from 1 species
AUGAGGGAGUACAAUUCUGUUUCCACAGCUAGCCCAGUCUAUAUAUACUUUUUCCUACACGAGGGACGAGUGCCUCAAAUCGGGAUCCCGAACUCAGGCCCCAGCCUCCAGCGGUCGCCGGCGCCGCCCGCACCGCGCCGGCCCCUCGCGCCUCACCUCCUCCACCUCCGAACCCCCCUGCCUGUACGCCCACCAUUCGGAACUCCGAAAUUUUCUGCUUUGCCAUUGCCACCGAAAGCCAUGCCGAUGUUGCAUCGAGUGCGGCCUCGCACGUAUGGCGGCGAGGACCGCCUUAGCGUGCUCCAUGAUGAUCUGAUCCUCCUCAUAGUAAGCAGGCUGGACACCCGAACAGUGCUUUUCAUGGCUGUCCUGGCCAGGCGAUGGGUUCGCAUCCCCCGCGAGCUGUCGGUGCUCGACUUCAGGGUGAGCGACAUACUCCCGCCGGAGUACGAACGGACCGUCGCCCUUCACCAGCGCAACUUGCCGCGUGACACCACUUUGGCCGGGACACUUGACGGUCUCAAGGCGCGAUACGAGAUUGACACAAUCAGGUCAUUCAUUCACCAACGGAAUCACGAGCUUGGAAGCAGACAAUGGCCAUGA